rnacentral:lncRNA from 1 species
CUGAAGUUAUAGGAUGGAAAACUCAGAAGCCGUUGGCAGCUCCCUUUCCCCUCCAUGGAAGAAGCAACCCAUCAGCAAGAAAGAUACCCAUGCAGACAAAGAACAAGAGCCUGCAUGGCUUUGCAGUGCCUGAUUCCAGUCCUCCUUAGACCCACAGUCUUCUGCCUUAGUCUUCAGUCAGAGAACAUCAUCUUUCUAGUGUCCGGCCUUUGCAGUAUGGCCACUAGUGGUUCUCUGCUCUCUGCUUGACCUUAGUCAUGGGAGGCACCAGUGCAAGAUUGGCUCACCGGUGGCAGGAUCAUGGCUACAACAGUUCCCUACUGAAGAGGAGACCUCAACCCCUGUCUGGAUUGUUACACCUGCCUUCACCUCUGCAGACAGCGUGGUUGUUAAACCCUAUUCUCCACGAGCCUGGGGACACACACGACCUAAGCUUGCCCUGGUGGACGCUGGAUCCUGAGACAUUGAAUCUGGGGCAAUUGGAGUCUAGAUGAAGAGAAGUAUAGAG